rnacentral:rRNA from 1 species
GAUGAACGCUGGCGGCGUGCUUAACACAUGCAAGUCGAACGAUUAAAGCUCACUUCGGUGAGUGUAUAGAGUGGCGAACGGGUGAGUAACACGUGGGCAACCUGCCCCUCACACUGGGAUAACCACGGGAAACUGUGGCUAAUACCGGAUACUCCGGCGAGAUCGCAUGGUCUUGCCGGGAAAGCUCCGGCGGUGAGGGAUGGGCCCGCGGCCCAUUAGCUAGUUGGUGAGGUAAUGGCUCACCAAGGCAACGAUGGGUAGCCGAGCUGAGAGGCUGAUCGGCCACACUGGGACUGAGACACGGCCCAGACUCCUACGGGUGGCAG